UAUUAUUAAUUUAAUUUUUUUUAAUUAAAAUAUUAAUUUUUAAAAAAUUAAAUAAAUUGGCAGUAUUUUUAAAAAUUAGAGGAUCUUGUUUUUUAAUAGAUAAUACACAAUAUAAUGAACUUAUGUUAUAUUAAAUUAUAUAUUGUUGUCAAUAAUAGUUUUAAAAAAAAUUAUUUUUAUUUUAAAAAUAUUAUGUCAAAUCAUAAUAUAUUUUAUAUAUAAGAAUAUAAUGAGAUACAUUUAAUUUAUUUAUUUAUUAAAAUUUGUAAUAAUUUUUUAAAAUUGGAUUUAAAAUUAAAAUUUAAUAAAUUUUAAAUUUGAAUAAAUUUAAAAAUGAGUAC
rnacentral:rRNA from 1 species